UUUUUCCCUCUAUAUAGUGUGAAGUUGGCUCAGAAAGAAAUUUGAGAAAAAUCUGUGUCCGUCUGCCACCCGGCCUUCAGUCAGCCGAACGUUGCUCAGUCAGGGUACGCGAAGCCGAAGAAAUAAUGGAAAAGCGCAGAAAACUUCAUCCCAACCCACACUGCUGAUCAUUUUCCAAAACAGCGUUCUUGCCAAAUGGGCUUUUGGCUUCAUCCUCUUGCUGCUUUCUUGCUCAUUGCUUAGAAGAGGCGUUUUGGCAGGAAAAGGAAUCCACGGUGUGAGUCUGACGUGACAUUCCCGUUCUGAUGGAGACAACGGCAUGGGAAACAAACACUGAGAAACAGGUAGGGCUCACCUAGUGUUCUCUUUGCAAGGCGUUUCCGCCCCAAACACCUGUCCUCUUGUCACCCAGUCAUCCGGGCAGCUGCCUCUCAGCCCCACGCUGCCUACAGCCAGCUGCUUGCUCCCUAUACCCAUUUUACAAACUCACGUGUUUAGGGCUUAUGGUGAGCCUGGCACUAUUCUAAGUGCCUCGUGUAUAUGAACUACACAUAUACAGUCUGGAAGGCUGACAUUAUUACUAUGUCCAUUUCACAGAUAAGGAGUCUGAGGCUCAAGUUAAGGAAUUCGCCCAAGGCCACACAGCUGGCAGACAGACGGCUGAGCCAGGAUUCCUAGCGAGACCUCUGCUCCAGAUCCAUCCACGUGCUCCACGCACACACGGAGCUCUUUUGACCUUGAGGUGGGGGACCAGCCUGCAUCUCAUCGCUCCAGAGCCCAAGGUGGCCAAGGAGCUGGUCUGGUCACCCUUCUGCUGAUGGAAAGGAAUUAGAAGAAUAUUCCAGCCAGAAAAAAAAAAAAGUUUAAUUCAAGGGGAGGAAAAAUCAGUCGGGGACUGAACUUAUCCAAACUGAUCUGCUCUGCGCAUCCAUAUUUAAGAAGGACCCCCAAGCAUAAUCCCCCCGCCUGGGGAAGCUGUGGACCCUGCAGAAAGAGAACAUUUGCCACAAAAGGGAUUUCCCAGGAUGGACCUGCUCAUAAACUGGCCCAGGUGUCACUUAAGCUAUUUUCAACUGUUUCUGCCAUUCUGAAGGUGGAUUGCAGACAAGAACCUGGAGAGCAUUCAGCCGUGGAGACCAAACCUGCAAGCUAAAGAGACAGUGCCAGAACUGCCCAACUGGCAGGCCCUUCCAAGGCCCUUGUCCACCCAGUGUUUGGGAAAGGGAGA
rnacentral:lncRNA from 1 species